GAUGAACGCUAGCGGCAGGCCUAACACAUGCAAGUCGAGGGGCAGCACGUAAAUUACUUCGGUAGUUUUGGUGGCGACCGGCGGACGGGUGCGUAACGCGUGUGCAACCUACCCAUAACAGGGGGAUAACGUCGGGAAAACUGGCACUAAUACCCCAUAAUAUCAUUAACGGCACCGUUGGUGGUUGAAAGCUCCGGCGGUUAUNGAUGGGCACGCGUUGUAUUAGAUAGUUGGUGAGGUAACGGCUCACCAAGUCAGCGAUACAUAGGGGGACUGAGAGGUUAACCCCCCACACUGGUACUGAGACACGGACCAGACUCCUACGGGAGGCAGCAGUGAGGAAUAUUGGUCAAUGGGGGCAACCCUGAACCAGCCAUGCCGCGUGCAGGAAGACGGCUCUAUGAGUUGUAAACUGCUUUUGCAAGGGGAUAAAUGUCGGUACGUGUACCGAUUUGAAGGUACCUUGCGAAUAAGGAUCGGCUAACUCCGUGCCAGCAGCCGCGGUAAUACGGAGGAUUCAAGCGUUAUCCGGAUUUAUUGGGCUUAAAGGGUGCGUAGGCGGUAGAGUAAGUUAGCGGUGAAAUCUCGGGGCUCAACCCCGAAACUGCCGUUAAAACUGCUUUGCUAGAGAUGAGAUGCCGUUGGCGGAAUGUGUAGUGUAGCGGUGAAAUGCUUAGAGAUUACACAGAACACCGAUUGCGAAGGCAGCUAACGAAUCUCGAUCUGACGUUGAGGCACGAAAGCGUGGGUAGCAAACAGGAUUAGAUACCCUGGUAGUCCACGCAGUAAACGAUGAUAGCUCGUUGUCGGCGAUACACAGUCGGUGACUUAGCGAAAGCGUUAAGCUAUCCACCUGGGGAGUACGUUCGCAAGAAUGAAACUCAAAUGAAUUGACGG
rnacentral:rRNA from 1 species